ACCAUUUGUGCUCAAGUUUGCACACCCUGCUGUUCCUGGGUUUUAACAGAAACUCAUCACCAACGUAUCCAUCACUCCAUUGAUGAAAGGUGAGGAAGGAGGAGUCAGAAGUUGCCAGUUUGCCUUUAGGAUGGAUUGUUUUCUUCCCUGGUAACACUGGGGAGUUUCUCUCUUCUUGCCCGUUCCCACGAUCCAUUUGCUCUCAUCAUCUUCGUUCAGAGGGAAGAGCGUCAUCCUUGCCUUCUAGCCCCAGGGAUUAGCAGUAUUCACCCAAGAAUGAAAACACAGACAGUAUCCUGUCUUUUCUCUUCCAUGGGCUCUGCUUCUGCGACCCCCCCCCCGAGCUAAGAGAGGUGGGCAUCUUGCAAUGUUGGCGAAGGCAGCUGCAGCCUCUGGGGCUCUUCCCACCACCAGCCAGGUGCUGUGGGCUUUCACACACUAAUUUUGUCCCGUGGACUCCUUACUCCACCCUGUGAGUUAAGGAGCCUUAUCCCUGAUUUGUCGGGAGAGAACCAGGGGCCAGAGAGCUGGAGUGAUAGUACGGGGGAUGUGCCUCAGUUCUAUUGUCAUUAGAUGUGGCUGAACCUACGUACAGUGUGGAAUUAGGUGAGAAGAGAGCUGGGCAUGAGGAUCUGGCACACAGCAUACACACGGCAGCCCUGAGAUUGUUAUCAGAAGUAUAUAUCUUCAUCGGGGAUGUUUGAAUGUGUGGGAUCUGAGAUUUCCUUGGCCCACUUGAAGAAAAAUCCCUCCCUGAAUCCAUGCCCCUUGUCAUUCUUUGCUGUAAGCGUCUCAUUCCCCUAUGGCUUGUCCUAGUCUCACGUCAGGGCCUGAUUGUUGCAGAGACAGAAGACCAGUCCAUGGCAAGGCCUUCCGUGUGCCCUGGGACACAGAGGGGCCCACACUGCCCUGUCUCCUCCGUGGGGCCCUCUAGCCUGUCCACUGGAUGCCCUGCUUAAGGGACUGCCAGAGCUCCCUGUACAGUUCGCCCCGACAGGACCGCUGUGUGCGGCCUCCUUGAAGAGGCCUUGGGUAUGAAGAGGGCCUCUGUCCUGUGAGUGAUCCUGUAGCACACACCGGGGGUGGAUCUCGCAGUGACUGGUUCUAGAGGUAGGUCUUCAGGCAGGAUUACUUAACGUCUUGAUGCUUCAGUUUCCUUGCCCCAAAAGGAGAUGAUAAUAAUACCACCUUCCUUGCCAACUGGUUUGAGUACAAGUGAGCUCAUGGAGAUGAGUGCUUGGAAAGGACUGAACACAUAGAAAGCGCACGAUAAAUGCACUUAUUGUUAUUAGAUUGUGUCGCACUUUCCUUUACCCAGCUUUAGAAUAUUGGCACUGUGAUCUUUCCUUCUCACAUCUUAACGUGAAGGCUCUCUAGGUAGCCGAUGUCCUUAUGUAUUUAUUUAGCAAGUUAACCGAAAAGAUUGACCUUAAAGAAAGUUAAAGACUCCUGUACUGAUUUUAAGAGAAUGAAAUGGGAUAUAUAUACUAAUUAUCGUUUCCUUUUUAAGAGGCCCAAACUGCUGCCUGGCAGUUGACAGCAACAGUGGAUUUUGUGUAUGUGCAAAUGUAUACAUUGGAAGCAGUUGAAAUGUAAUUUCCAAACUCAGGACUAAUUCAUAUCCUUGGUUGGAACAGAUAGUGUUGCUGGCCAAAAUCUUGGCUUUCUUUGUCCACCAAAGCCAAUUAAAAAGUACGGAGACAGAAUUUGGAGGAAAUGGAAAGGUGGAAAUGGAAAGGUGGCUUUAAUUCUCAGCCAGCAGAGCGGGGAACACAGUAGGCCCAUGCCUCAAGAACUGUGCCUCCACGAGGAGUCUAGGGGCUUGUAUAAGAUGAGGCCUCGCAGUCUGGAGUAGGUGAUGAGGAGCAAAGGCGUUAGGACUUGUCCAAAAACAGUCAUAGGCUGGCAUCGGUAACCCAGUAAUUGAGUCUGGCAGUUCAGUGGCUCUGCCUUUCUGAUAUGUAACUGCUAGGGGAAGGCUGUUCGAAGGGUAAACACCAGAUGCAGGAUGUAUUUAGCAUAUAGAGUCCAAGGAAAAUAGGUGCAGAAGUGUAGCUCCUACAAAGUUAGGGGGAAGGAAAGCAAACUUAGUUACAGACAUGCAGAGUUAGGAACAGUUUAAAAAAAAAAAAAAAGCUAGAAAUGAUCAGGCCUGCUCGCUGUUCUCUUUAUCUUCUUUGUUCUCUGGGAAAGGGAAAUUAAAAAACUCUUUUUUUUUUUUUUCCUGUUUUUCAUGGCAACAGUGGUACUUUCCUAUUACCUAAAGCCCUCAUUUCUACCCAUUCUUCUGGAUGACCUUUGCAGUAGUCUGGUAAUCAUGUGGCCUCUGGACCAUAACAGUGCUCUGUUAGUAACUCACACUCAGACUUGUACUCUCAGGUCGUUGAAGUAGCUUUUUGCAAACAAUGGUGAGCAAUGACCUAGUGUCCUUGAAAGGGUUACUGUUCCCAUUGUAUUCUCAGGAAAUAAUUUGCAGUACAGAGGAGUUUGGUUCAUUAGAAUUCCCCCGCUAAGAAACGUGGGGGGGCCCACCCUGUAGGUGCCCAGAGCUGCCCUGUCACUUGCCACUGGUCACUUUUGAGCACUUGAAAUGGGACGGGUGUGACUGAGGGUGUGUGUUUUUUAAUUUUAAUGAAUUAUGAUUUAAAAUUUUAAACAGAAGUAGGAUGAGAUAUUUUUCUGUUGAAUAUAACUAUUUUGGUGGGACCACAUUUUAUGUGAUCAUGUCAUUUGAUCUUUGUUACAUUCGUUGAGUGUUUUGUCACUUGUAAUAGCUCAUUAAUAAUUUAAAAUUUUUGGUGACAAAGUAAAAUGAUGUUUUGAUAUAUUGGGUGAAAUAAAUAAUACUGAUUAAAUAAAAUUAACUGUUUUCUUUUUUUGUAAGGCUGCUAAAAUCGUUUUGGGCUUCCCUGGUGACUCAGUAAAGAAUCCUCCUGCAGUUUAGCAAACCUGGGUUUGAUCCCUGGGUUGGGGAGAUUCCCUGGAGAAGGGAAUGGUAACCCACUCCAGUAUUCUUGCCUGGAGAAUUUUGUGGACAGAGGAGCCUCGUGGGCUCUAGGCCAUGGGGUCUCAGAGUCGGACACGACUAACACUUUAAUGUAGUGUUAAACUACAUUUUUCGGAGUGACUAACACUUUCCCUUUUCUCUAAAGUUGUUUAAAUCACACAUAUGGCUUGCAUUAAAUUUAUACUGGAAAGUACUGCCUUAGAGCCUCUAUUACAGGUUGCUGAAAUUAGCUUGUUCUAAAGUUCAAAAUUAGGUUCCGGGCUUACAUUUUGACUUUACGGAAUCAGAGUUGUUUAGAUGAAGGGAUCUUUGGACUCACCCAACCCAACCCUGUCCUUCUGCAGAUGGAGAGACUGAGGUUCAAAGUUGCUGUAACAUGUUACUGUAACAUGACCGUGGAUGGGUGUGGAACUUAAUGUGCUUUAGAGCCUAUUGCUUUCCUUCCUGGGCUUCCUUGGCGUUGGAAACAUGGUGGGCGUCAGGGCUGCAAAGAACUUCCACCAGUUCCUGAUAGAGGGAUUUAAAAAGCAAUUAUUUUAGGCAAUGAGAGAAAGAAUUUUUGUACUGUGUCUCCCGUGGACAGGAUGAUUGAUUCCAUGUUUGACGUGUAAAUUUUUGUUGGGCAGUAUAAUGAUAUAUCCAUGGGGAAUAGUAGUAAUAAGGUACAAAUAAUUCCCACACUUUGUGCGAGCACUUACUUUGGAAAACUCCAUACAUCUGGCUUUCAUAUUUUUCAUUUAAGGAGUUCUUUUCCCAAAACCAGAGAUUUUAAACCAGACCCACAGCUUUUGUCCUUGAGAAAAAGACUGAGAGCUUGACUUCAGGUGUUUGUUAUUUAGGUAGGUAGCCUGAGAUCCUUUGGUAAAAGUUUAGGCCUGUUUUAUGGUAUUGUUUUCUUCGUGGCAAAACUGACUUAAGGAAGAAGCCACCAACAAUUAAAAUGAACACCCUUAGAGCAAACCAGAAUUUUUUGUCUAUUUUGAGGAAUCGAGGAGGAAAGGGAGCCAUGAUGAGUCACUAAAUGGUGAUUUGAUUUAUGGGUCUGUCCAUCAGGUUUAGCGAGGGCUGCUUCCGCUACAGAUACAGUUGACAAGUCAGACGACCUUUGAUAUUUAACCUUUCUGAACCUAUUUCUUCAUCUUGCUAAUCUUCACACAGAGUAGUGUGAGGAUUAAUUGACACAGUCAUGCAAGUGAAAGUGGUUUGUGCUCUGUAAGCAUUAAAAAUGGAAGGGCUGCUGUCUCAAAGGGCUUCCUUUCUCCAAGAAGAUGUAGAACUAUUUCUGGGGUCACCCUUGGUCUUGGUGAGCCUGUGGAUGAGUCAGUCAAGUUUGGAAUGUGCAUUUGGUGGGCCCAUGGCCUUGACCCCAUGAUUUGGGACUUCUCAGGCUUCCACGUUAAUUUAAAGCACUUCUUGCUCUUGGUAGCAGAGAUGGUCUGCCUGAAGUCAGGGUUAGAACUGGAAGCCCUUUAGUCCUAUUGUGUUGAAUAUGGGCAUAAUCUUUAGAUACCACUGAGGAUUUAGAGAUUAGGAGUAGGGAAAGGAAAGUUCUCUGCAGAAAAGUGCAGGUCAUACUUUGGUCAGAUAACAGGGUUCUAUAGGCCAGGGUUCUAUUUGGUUGCAGGAUCAAAUGCCACACGACAGUUUUGUACACUUCUGUUUUCAAAGUAAUUCCUAGCAUUUCAGAAAUUUAAGGACUAGAAAUUGCAAUAGAAAGGUCUAGUUUGAAAUCUAAUUUCUGUGAGUUGACCAGAUGACCCUUCCUGGGUUCAGCUCAGUCAGAUGAGACCUAGUGUCAGUUACCCAUUUAGUAUCUCUGGGCUUUGGGAUACUUAUUUAUAAAUUUGGUGUUUGGUCUGUGUUCUGCAAGAUCACCAUCGGCUCUUCUUAGUUACUUGUGUGUUCAGUGUAAUUUAAUAGCCAACUUACAUGUUUUUGAGAGACACAUCCCUAGACGAAUACCUUUUCCUGGUCUUCAAAGAGCUAGUACAUAUAGUCAGCCUGGUUGGACUUGCUUUCUCUUUUAUAGAUUAUACUCCAUUUAAAGUUAUUAUAAAAUAUUGAUGAUAUUGCUUGUGCUGUACACUACAUCUUGGUAUCUUAUUUAUUUUAUACCACUAGUAGUUUGUACUUCUUAAUCCUCUUCCCCUAUCUUGCCCCUCUCUUCCAACCCUCUUUCACUGGAAACCACUUGUUUGUUCUCUGUAUCUGUGUUUUGUUAUAUUCAGUUGUAUGUUUUAUUUUUUAGAGUCCAUAUAGAGGUGAAAACAGAAUUGGUCUUCCUCUACUUGACUUAUUUCACCAAGCAUAAUACCUUCCAGGUCCAUCCAUGUUGUUGCAAAUGGCAGAAUUUUCUCCUUUUUUGGCUGAGUGGUAUUCCAUUGUGUAUAUUUACAGCAUAUCUUCUGUAUCCCUUCAUCUCUUCAUGGACACUUCAGUUGUUUCCAUAUCUAGGCUGUUGUAAACAAUGCUGUGGUGAACACUGGGGUGCAUAUCUUUCUUUUCAAAUUAUUUCAAAUGUUUUUUGUUUUCUUCAGAUGUAUACUCAGCUAUGGAAUUGCUGGAUCAUAUGGUAGUUCCAUUUUUAUUUGACUUGGUUUUUUCUUGGGAAUUCACCUUGUCUGGUAGAAGGACUGAGGUUGCCAACUUUGCUCGUUUCACCUGUUGAGACUGCCUGACAUCUACCUGUGUGUACGGUGGCCUUUAUGUUUCUUGCCCCUGCAGAUUGUUUUACCAGCUCCAAAGGCACCAACCAAGAUUACCUUGGCUGGACAUAGACUGGUGAUUAAAGAAAUGUUGGCUGGACAACUGACUAUGUACAGUAUAUUCUCUUUAGUCUUAGUUUUAUUGUCUUAUCUUUAAAAAUACUGAGAGGGCUGAUUUUGAAAUGAGUUUGAAAUUAAUAUAGGAGACCUUAUAUCAACAAUUACCAUGUAUUUAUUGGGUGAGUACCAUGUGCCAAUGUGCUGCAAGGUAUGAAGGACACAUGAUUGGGGAAAAGAGUGGGGAAAAUUGGCAUUUCUCAUUGUAUAAUAAAUAAAAAUGUGUAUACUCCUUGACCAGCAGUUCUGAGUAUCUGUCUCAUAGGUGAUCCUCACACAUUGUUGAAAUGAUUUAUGUACAAAGAUAGCCAUGGUAGCAUCAUUUGCCCUAGCAAAAGAUUAGGAAUAACUUGAAAGCCCAAUGAGGGACUGAUUAAGAUUGUUAUAAAAAGGUCUAUUCUUAAAAUACUGCUCAGCCAUUAAAAAUAAUGAAACAACUUUAUGCCCUGAUGUAGAACCAUCGCUAAAGUAUAUUAAAUAAGAAAUAAGUGUAGAAUGUUGUGAUUAUAUACUACUUGUGUGUGUGUCUGUGAAAUGUGUUAGUCCCUAAGUCAUGUCCAACUCUUUGCAACCCAUGGACUGUAGCCCACCAGGCUCCUCUAUCAAUGGAGUUCUCCAGGCAAGAAUACUGGAGCAGGUAGCCUUUCCCUUCUCCAGGAGAUCUUCCCAACCCAGGGAUCGAACCCAGGUCUCCUUUAUUGUGGGCAAAUUCUUUACCACUAGCACCACCUGGGAAAUAUGUGCCUGCGGGUGUGUAUUUAAUAGAAUAUCUUCCUAAGGACACAAAAAACUGAUGCCAGUGGUUGCCUUGGGGAGAGAUAACUGGGAGAUUACUUUCGUAGCUUUUAAAGUUAUCCUAUAUACACAUGCCGUCUAUUAAAAAAGACAUUGUCGUGCCCUGAAGGAGUUUGCAGUUUAGUUGGGCCAUUGUAAGAAAGCCCACAUAAGAUAUACAGAGAAAGGACUGGGGGUGAGUAUUGGCUUUAUGGGAAGAUCUAAAUGCUAAACUCUGCUUGUGCGGGUUGACUGGACUUGCCUAGUUGUCAGGACGGGCGGGCUGAGCAUCAGUGAGCUGGCUUCCAGCCUUAGCAUCCCACCCGGCAGGGGGCACGGGGCUGAAGCAGUUUGCAGCCUUUGUCCUGUGGUGGUGGGAAGCGCCCACAGGCUGGACAUCAGAUCUGGAUUGGGGUUCUGGCUCUGCCACUUGCCAACUUGCAAUUUGGGGCAGGGAUGCUGGAGACCCAGAGCCUAAUUGUGCUCAUCCAUAGAUGAAGAUAAACCACCUCCUCAUGCUGUGCAGUGGUCAGUCCUGCAAACCAUGAAGUGCUUUGCGAACACCAGCUGAGAUAGAAGCUGCGAGGAAUCUGCUGACUGGCAAGCUGGGACCAGAGGUGCAAAUUUAAAAAUUCAGUUCAGUUCAGUCACUCAGUCGUGUCCGACUCUUUGCCACCCCAUGAAUCGCAGCACGCCAGGCCUCCCUGUCCAUCACCAACUUCUGGAGUUUACUCAAACUCAUGUCCAUCGAGCCGGUGAUGCCAUCCAGCCAUCUCAUCCUCUGUCGUCCCCUUCUCCUCCCGCCCCCAACCCCUUCCAGCAUCAGGGUCUUCUCAAAUGAGUCAACUCUUCGAAUAAUGUGGCCAAAGUAUUGGAGUUUCAGCUUUAGCAUCAGUCCCUCCAAUGAACACCCAGGACUGAUCUCCUUUAUGAUGGACUGGUUGGAUCUCCUUGCACUCCAAGGGACUCUCAAGAGUCUUCUCCAACACCACAGUUCAAAAGCAUCAAUUCUUUGGCAGUUAGCUUUCUUCGCAGUCCAACUCUCACAUCCAUACAUGACCACUGGAAAAACCAUAGCCUUGACUAGAUGCACCUUUGUUGGCAAAGUAAUGUCUCUGCUUUUUAAUAUGCUAUCUAGGUUGGUCAUAAUUUUCCUUCUCAGGAGUAAGUGUCUUUUAAUUUCAUGACUGCAAUCACCAUCUGCAGUGAUUUUGGAGCCCAGAAAAAUAAAGUCUAACACUGUUUCCCCAUCUAUUUCCCAUGAAGUGAUGGGACCAGAUGCCAUGAUCUUAGUUUUCUGAAUGUUGAGCUUUAAGCCAACUUUUUCACUCUCUUUCAUCAAGAGGUUUUUUAGUUCCUCUUCAAUCACUGCCAUAAGGGUGGUGUCAUCUGCAUAUCUGAGAUUAUUGAUAUUUCUCCUGGCAAUCUUGAUUCCAGCUUGUGCUUCUUCCAGCCCAGCAUUUCUCAUGAUGUACUCUGCAUAUAAGUUAAAUAAGCAGGGUGACAGUAUACAGCCUUGAUGUACUCCUUUUCCUAUUUGGAACCAGUCUGUUGUUCCAUGUCCAGUUCUGUUGCUUCCUGACCUGGAUAUAGCAAAAAUAUAUCUUUCCCCUCCUAUCUGCCAAAUAACUGGGCAGGAGUCAUAAAAUUAGAUGUUAAAUUAGAAAAGUAGACCACAGUAGCUUUGGAACCCUUGACCUUUGAUCUCGGGACAGUCAUUUCACCCUUUAGACCAGUUUCCCUGUUUGAAAAAUGAAAGGGGCUAUGUGUGUCCUCUGGGUGCCUCCUGUCACCACGUUGUGUGACAGUGUGGCAUCAGCAGGAAUUCCCAUGCCAUCUGAGAUGAGUCAUAUUGACUGAAAAGUCCACAUGCAAGGAGGACGUCUCUGAGAAUUUUCCUUGUGCUGGAGAAUCUGAGCCUCUGGGGAGAAACUGGGGGUGGGGGCGGGAUUGCUGCCACGAAGAGGGGAGACCAGAAAGGCAGGGUGAGUGGAGAUGGGUUGUCUUCUCCACCUCCAAAACCUCCUUUGCUUUCCAGUAUUCAUACAGACUAGAUGUUUGGAAAAACCAAGCUUUGCCCCUUGUUUAAGUGGGUGGGAUGUUCAUGUGCUUGUGACCGGUGAGCUUUUGACUCCUCUGCGAAGUCUCUGCAGUUUAGUGACACUUCCUCAGUGCUGUCUUGGCCCCUACAUGCUUUUCUCCUCACGUCUCUAAACUGAGAUCAGAGACUGUCCUCUUGACCUCUGUGUCCCCAGCACCUAUCGUAGUUCCAGGUACCUGAGAGGUGAGCUGUGUGUUUGUAUUCAGUGGGUAGCUGGAUUAAUGAUCCAUUUAUGUACACUAAUAUUGACUACCACCUUUAUUAUAACUAUCACCAUUCUGGUAAAGUGACAUUUUAGCCACUAGUAGCUUAUUAUUUUGAGAAAUAUUUCAUACUCAAUAAAGUUAACACUAAAAAAUAAUUAAGCAGACCCCCCUUUGUAAUGUUGUUUUUACGGGAUGUACAAAAAAAGCUAAGUAUUUUAGACAGUCUCUGUAUAUUACGAUAUAUGCGUAUCUAAGAUUCAUCACUGUCACUUCCACAGGCACACAGGUCUUGAGCUGGCAGCAAGUAACAGCAGGCCUGAAUCCCUGGCCCAGUUCUUACCUUUUAGAGCUAAUUGUAAGCAGUUAAAUCUGAAAAGAAGCUUUAAGAUUAAAAUAAAUAAUUUGUUUACAAAUGCAGGAUCCAGAGAGGGUGAAAGAUCAUUAGGGGGUUUAGAAGUGGCAGAAAUAGCUAAAAGAGUUCCAGGGGUCCGAGCAUGCUGGGGCUCUGCCCUCUCUCGUGGGGGCAGGUGCAGGGGGCUGAGCAAGCAGUUCUGUUUGAUGCCACCCAAGGUGGGUAUCUGAUGACCUGUUCAGUUCACACUUGGUAAAUGUCAGCGUGCAUGCUGAGUGAAGUUAGAGUUAGAGCCAAUGCUCCUGCAGGUUUUCUUGGUAAGAAAAGGUGUGUGUGUUUUCCUAUAGAAUCAUUCUAGUAGUGAUAACAGACCUAUUCACAAAAUUACUUUCAUGUGUAGAGUGCAGCAUCCAGAGCUGAAUACCUUCAUGGCUUGUUAAAAAAUGGAGGUGAAAAAAAUGGGUCCUGAAGUUUGCUUAUCAAACAAAGCCGCUCGACAUAGUGACUUACCCUUGCAUAGGCCAUUUGAGGCCCAACAGCAGCGUCCUGCAAAAAUACUACAAACGGGCAGAAAUUAACUCUGCUGGCAUCCAGGUGUGAAACUUCCCAUAGAAAACUCAGAUUCACUUUUGGAAUCAGUAGCAGUGGGAUCACCUGCUGUUUUGGAAAUUAACUGUCCUUUCUGAUUUCUUUUUGGCCAAACACAUAUAUGUCUCUUAGGAAAAUAAACAGUCCAAAUUCUUCCUCUGUUCACUUUCAGGCCUUGCUUUACCUUUGCAUCACACUUUGCAGUGUACAGACAAGUGUAAUGGAUGAAAGUUCCAGUAAACUGGCUUGAUCAUGUUUCUUAGGUUGAGUCACUGCUGAGAAACUUGUGAGCAGGAAAGAGCACAUGAAAAUGUACACAGUAACAAGCUGGACUGUGAGGAAAUGGGACCAUUUUCUAGCUGAAAGACACAAGCGUAGGAGGAUGUGUCUGCAACUCAUGGACUAGCAAAUAUGUGAUCUAGGAUUUUAAGUCAUUGAAUAAUUCAUGUUUGGUGUGUUUGAGAUUUUUUUUUUAAUGCUGUUAAAAACUGCUAGUUAUUGAAGACUGAGGAAAUAAUCCUUAGUAAAUUUACUCUAGAAGGAAAACUCGGAUUAGUGGUAACUAUUAUUACCUAUUAGGGGUCUCUGCUGACAUAUAAACUGGUUGCAAGGCCAGUUAUUUUUUUAAAUGGAGCUGUAGUUACACAGAAAUUAACCCAGUGACAUUUACACUUGACCUCAGUGUCUGUAAGGCCUCUUCCACCUGUAACAUUCUAUGAUUCUGUAUAAAUGUUUUUUUUUACCUUUGUUUUAAACCACUUAC